UCCCAUAGGGUGGAAGCAAGCCUGAUCAAUCCAUGGUGAGGGAGGAAGGCAUCCAAUCUGUUCGCUUCUUUUUUCAGGGAAGAAGAUCAGGCGCAACAUGAGGAAUAGGCCCCGGGGAAUACUGUGCCACCACACCCGUAUAAAUGGGGGGGGCGAGCGUUUUCUUGAAAAAUAGUGGGUAAAGAGUGCGCAGGGGGCCAUACAAGUGUGGUGUUAAAAUCGCGACUUAACUCCAUCGAGGCACAUGAAAAAGUUGCGGUCGAGAGUGGUAGAGACAGAGGGAAAACCCCAAGUGGCGGGGAAAAGCUUGGAUAUCGGGAGGAGCACCACAGGGGAAGGGGCUGUGCAGGGCCAUCAUAGAGGCUCAGGGGUGAAAGCCAGGGGGGAGAAAGCGGGAAGAGACCCCUGUAUUCUAGGCAGUGAACGAGGCACACUCCAAGGGAGGGGAAUUACAAUCUAAGGAGUGGCGCAAAUUCAAAUGAAUGAC
rnacentral:rRNA from 1 species